UACGUAGGGUGCAAGCGUUAAUCGGAAUUACUGGGCGUAAAGCGUGCGCAGGCGGCUCUGCAAGUCAGAUGUGAAAGCCCCGGGCUUAACCUGGGAACUGCAUUUGAUACUCUAGAGCUUGAGUACGGGAGAGGAGAGUGGAAUUCCCAGUGUAGAGGUGAAAUUCGUAGAUAUUGGGAAGAACACCGGUGGCGAAGGCGGCUCUCUGGACCGUAACUGACGCUGAGGCGCGAAAGCGUGGGGAGCAAACAGG
rnacentral:rRNA from 1 species